rnacentral:miRNA from 1 species
UCACGCGAGGCUCUCGAGGUAG